rnacentral:lncRNA from 1 species
AUUCAAUUAAUAAACAUCUGAAGCAUCCAGUCCUCAGACUCAAUAACUUUUCCAUGUGUAAUCUAAAAUAUUGAGAACAUAUUUAUAAUUUAACACAGUUAUUGUGAUCCUGUGCCAACUAUUAGCUCAUGGAUAUAACUUGAACACAAGGUUAUAGGAUAAUCAGAAUCUACAGAAAUGUUGUUUUUUACCCACAAAAUCUCUACAAAUUACAGUUUUGUGUUUUACUUUAAACAUAUUAAUUUCUAUUUUUGUUCUUACUGUAAAAUGAUAGAAAGAAGAUUUAUAUGAAAGCAGUAUAAUAUGCAAGAAACACUGCCAUCAUUACAGAUCUUUUUCCUCAUUUCACUUCUUAGAAAGUCAUUUUUUAACAACAUUUAUGAUUCAACACAGGAAGGUAAGUGGCCUGAUAGAGUGGGCUUGUCAUUAAAUACUAGAAAGAAGGAUAAUAAGUGGUUGCAUGGCAAAUUGGAAUGGUUAAUUUAAUUUUCUCUCUCAUUUUUUUCCUUUCCUCUUUUUGCUGACAGUAUUGUCUGAUUAUUGUGUUUUCAUAUGAAAAAUAGCUGAUAGUAGUCAUCUCAAUCCUUCUUAUCAUCAUCUGAGUUUGGAGAUCCUGUUUUUAUUUCUAGUGUACUCAUCUACCAAAUACAUUUCUCUUCAAAUUUGGAAUCAGAAAAAUUUAUUCCUUCUUGUUUACAGUUUGUGUAUAACUUCUUUUUAUCUCUUUCAGUUCUGAAUUUAAAAAACAGACCUUCAUUUAAUGACUUAAAAAAAGAAAAAAAAAAAAAAAAAAAAAAGAAACAAUAUCAAGCAUGCUGUUGCAUACCUGAAGAAUGUGGGAUUUAGAAAAAAAAUUAAGAAUUAUAAGAUCAAACUGAAGUUUGAAAUCAAUGUAACAUUUUGAUUCCUCAUCCUUUAAUUUUAUUUAAUAUCCAUUACAAAAUUUCAUUUCAAUCUAAGCCUAUUCUGGAACUGUAUCAUAUCAUUAAAUUUUACAGAUACUACCAUUUCAAACAUCUAUUUAGGACUGCAGUAGAAGAGGUGAAGAACAAUGUGUCCUUGGGUGCCUGUGAUGUGCAGAAGCCUUGGAAUACAUCAUUACUGCAGUGCAGCUGGACAUCUGCUACACAGAAUGUAGCACAUCCAUAAAGAAAAACCUUCUGGGAUUCAUUUUGAAGGAGCAUGUUCGGGCUUUGAGAGAGGCUGAUGCAGAACAGGCUGAGGAACUGGAUCUAAGAUCAUGAAUUGAAGAUUAGGAAGGAUACAAGCAGAAAUAUAUUGCCAAGGAGAGAAUGGAGAGAGAGCAGGUUUGGUCAAAGAUUUGGGGCAAUACACCACUUCUUCCAAAACUUUAUUGAUUGCCAGGCAUUUGAGGUUCAGGACAUUGCUCACUUAUGAGAUGCCCUGUGACAUCUUUGUUGAAUUUCAGCUGCUAUUCUGAAAUGAAUGUUUCCCACAGACUAAAUCACAUGGAUGUCUCAGGCUUACAUAGAUAUCUCAAACAGCAGUAGAUGUCUGUGUGUAAGCACUUGAAAAAAUCCUUCAGAGAUAUGUUCAGGUCCAGAUUCAGGCACAUAAAGGUGCCUGCAAUGUCUUUAUUUACACGUGAAUUUGGUAUUUAAGCUUCCGUUGUCUGCCUGCUAUGGAGGCUAAAGAUCUACUCAGUUCCCCCAAAACCAGUCCUGCAUCUGACUGGCUGUAGCUCUUUAGACUUGACUGACUGUGUUGACAAGGGGUAGCCAGUGGAAUUUCGCUCAUUCUUGAUGUUCAGUAUACCUACUGAAAAAAAAAGGUUGGGUCACCUCAGGUGACGGGAGCUGUGUGAUUGUGUGCUGGUGACUGAGUCAUCCAUGUGGAUAUCUCUGCUGUCUGUAACAGGAGCUGAGAUACCUAAUUUGCACGUUAACAUCUAUACUUAGGCUUUUAAAUUUAGCUAUUUUUCUUUUCAUGGUGAAUCCCACCAUUGAUGUUUCUCCUUUAUUAUUUGUAAGUAUUGCAGUUAAAUUUGUCAUUUAACCUUGUUAGCUAGUGUGAGCCUAGACUCCCAUUGGACUACUUUAUUCUCCAAAGCUGCAGUCUCCUGCUUGCAUUGUGCUACUAGAGACCUGCAGUAGCAGCAAGUAUCAUUUCAUAUCUUCCUUAGAGGAAAACAGAACAAGUUCCUCUCUUUUCACAGAAUCACAGAAUCAUCUAGGUUGGAAGAGACCUCAAAGAUCUCAAAAGUAGCCAUGACCCUGAAUACAUUGAUACCUAUUGCUUGUAGAAAGGAUAACACAUCAUCAUAAAGUUAUAGAAUCAGAGUGGUUUGGGUUGAAAAGGACCUUAAAAACUAUCUAGUUCCAACCCACUGCCAUAGGCAGAAAUGCCACCCACUAGAUCAGGUUGCCUAGGGCCUCAUACAUCCUGACUUUGAACACCUCCAGGGAUGAGGCAUCCACAGUCUCUCUGGGAAACCUGUUCCAGUGCCUCACCACCCUCUGAGUGAAGUAUUUCCUCCUAAUCUCUAAACUAAAUUUGCCUUCUUUUACUUUAAAUUUUACUUUAAAUCUAUUCCUCCUUGUACUGUCAUUAUCUGCCUGAGCAAAAACUUGUUCUCCAUCUUUUUUAUAACUCCUCUCCCUCCUUUAAAUAUUGAAAAGUUGCUAUGAGAACACCCAAGAGCCUUCUCUUUAGGCUAAACAUCCCCAACUCCCUUAGCCUGUCUUCAUAGGAGAGGUACUCCAGACCUUUGUUCAUCUUGGUGGCCCUCCUCUGGACUCAUUCUAAUACUUCCAUGUCCUUCUGAAGCAUAAAACUCUGUUAUGAAUUAUUUGAGGGUUGCAUUUAUGCUAAAAUAGUAAACAGGGCAAGACCCAAAGUUCAAACACUGGUAUAUGGUACUGUGUAGUGGCCAACAUGUCUUUUGGUGUGUUUUUGGCUUGUGACAACUUUUCCCAGAUAAUACUAAGAACAGAUCAAUCUCCAACAGACAGUAGGUAUAAGGGUGUUGCUGCAGGAGAGAUUUUUACAAUAUAGACAUAUAUUACAGACACUUGGUGCCUGUGGGCUGAAGAACAAACCCUGUGCUCUCUUACUUUUAAAUACUGAUGGAGUAUAAAGGAAAAUCAAUAAGCUAACUGAGGCUGAAAGUUAUUACAAAUAAACUGCAGAAUCAGUAUUUGUGUCUUUGUGUC